GCCGGCUGCCCGCGCCGCUCCGAUUUCGGGAUUCCUCUGGGAGAGUUGCACGCCUCGAUGGCGUCUCUCUUUGUCCCCCACUCGGAGAAUCAGGAUUCGGGGCCUGUAACUGAAGCAGGAGUCCGGCCAUGGCUGCGGAGAUGCCAUCACCCUAAGGAAAGAGGGAGGCAUCUUCUGAGGAAUCGCCUUCAGAACCCGAGGCACGUCUGUUCAUACCUUCAAUCCUGACAAGCUGUUUUUGAAGGCGAAUAUGAUGUUUGGAACCAUCCAGAAGUCAUUUGGAGUCCAGUGAAAAAGCCAGCGAUCAAGGGGAAAAUAAAGGUCUGAGUGAAAAGGUAGCAACCAAACAAAUAGGAGUGUGGAAGGGGAAGAGUUCCAACAGGAGUCAGACAAGAUCACUUCGGG